rnacentral:rRNA from 1 species
GACGAACGCUGGCGGCGUGCUUAACACAUGCAAGUCGAGCGGUAAGGCCCUUUCGGGGGUACACGAGCGGCGAACGGGUGAGUAACACGUGGGUGACCUGCCCUCAGCUCUGGGAUAAGCCUGGGAAACCGGGUCUAAUACCGGAUAUGACUCCAUGACGCAUGUUGUGGGGUGAAAGCCUUGUGCGGCUGAGGAUGGGCCCGCGGCCUAUCAGCUUGUUGGUGGGGUAAUGGCCACCAAGGCGACGACGGGUAGCCGGCCUGAGAGGGCGACCGGCCACACUGGGACUGAGACACGGCCCAGACUCCUACGGGAGGCAGCAGUGGGGAAUCUUGCGCAAUGGGCGAAAGCCUGACGCAGCGACGCCGCGUGAGGGAUGACGGCCU